GGUGAAGGCUGUGGCUGUCCUGUUCUGGAAGCAGCUGAUGGACAGAGAAAAUGUCUGAAGAUGUGUACAUUCCAGAGGAUGAAGUGGACACUUAGAUUACACCAGCUGGCUCAAAUAGCUUGUUAAAGACAUAGAUUGUACAUACAACAAAAUGGAGUUUAUAUGGACCUAACUUAUUUGCGUUACAGUGUAAUGGAAUAAAUACAGUUUGAAUCAAUAUGUAUUGUUUUAAAGUCUUUACAUAUGUAUAAUUUAGUAUUUCUUUUAUUGCAGAAAGGAUAACGAGUUUCUUUUCUCUAAAUUUGGUGAAGUUUAACCUCCUUAUUUAUCCUCAUUAUGAUGAUUUUUCAGUGACCAUGCCCAGGGUCCUAUCGCAUGUGGAAGACCAGAGUUCUUGUCCAAAGUGCCAGCAUCUUCGUUGGCCUCAUCGUGUGGGAGUGACACCAGACUGGCUUGUGUCGUGUCUGAGGAGGGUGUCUGUGAAGAAGGGAUUGUCCUCACCGCAGGACUGAAGAGAUGGGCUGGAGUACUGUUUCUCCUCUCUCCAGCCUGGCUUACGUGGAUUACUAGCAAAGCAUCAGGAGGUUAGGAUGGGCUAGGAGCUAUAUGGUGUCUUGCCUUGUGCGUACCUCACUCACUCUGUCGUACUGACCACAAGAAUUGGUAGUGCUUUUACCUUUGAGGCAUAGUUCCUGCAUUCUUUUUUAAAUUGCUUUGCCAUUCAUUGUGUCCAGCCAGAGUUAGAAGGUGAGUUACAACCUGGUAUGACUGGAUAAUCCUGCUGGGCAGUAACUCUUCAGCCUGCGGUUGUGACAGCCAGUUCAGCAUAGCAUCUCUUGCAGGCUCCAUCUCUGACAAAUUUAUCUUUCUCCCUCACACCCUAGGACAGUCCUUGAAAGCAGAGAAUAAAGGGAGGUUUGGUCAGAAGAAGGCUAAGGAGUAGGAAAAGCAGCCAAGGUUUUAGAAGUGAAAAGAAGUAAGAAAAAGUUAGAAGUAAGAAAAAGACGUGCGCAUCAGGCAAGGAGCGGCAGACUGCUGUGCUGCUGUGAUAUUUAGUGUGUGAUGCUGAGGGAGUCUUGUGAGUUGGGUGGGUUUUGUGGUCUUGGUGCGUGGUAGUAUGGUGUGAAGAGACUUGUGCUGUGUGUUGUCAUAGUCACUAGUAGGAGAGAAUAAAGCAAGAUAUUUGGCUUUCAAUGUAAACAGUUUAAUCUACAGUGGAACCUAACAUUUUACUCCAAAACCUCUUCAAGGAUUGGCAAAUCAUGAAGUAGGGAUUUGGAAUUUGGAACAAAUACUUGGUUCUGCUACAAAUUCCUGGAGUGGAUGUAGUCAGCAUAAAGUCACUGUAAUGUAUGUCAUUACAGUUACAAAAAAAGGUACAUGUUUUUGUCUUGAAAUAAUUGAUCAGCAAAAGUCACAUUAACCUAAAACCUAUGGCUUUUGCACAUGUCAAAAACUUUGCAAACCCAAAUGAUGUUCAUCAUUUUCUUACAGCAGGUCCCUGUAUUGGCAUGUAUAAAACCAGUGCAUCUUAUCUUUGUACAGCUGUCUUAUGAAAUGGCUGUAGGUGAUAAAGUGUUUCUUAAAAUGUAUUUUUAUUGCAUCAUGGUUUAAUUGAAACAGAGCUCUAAUACAUUGCUUUUUAACAGGAAAAAUUCCUGAAACAGAAACUGCAUGCCCUAGAUAUUUUGGGGAAUAUCUCGUUACAGACUUGGAAUUUAAGCUAUGAUGACACUCAUGAUAAAUUUUGGAAAUAAAGCUCAUUACAUCUUUUCUUACCACAGGAGUAAACACCACAUCCUGGUUAAAUGUCAUAUGACUAAUUUAAUUUUUACAAGUGACUAGCUAAUUGCAAUUUCUAAAUACUUUUCCAUGAUGAUGUGCGAUACAAAAACAACUUCUUGAUUCAGCUUGUGAGUUACAUGCAUUGUUUCUUGCUUAUACUUAUGUUAGUUCAGGAUUAGGAGAUGGAUAAGCCAAAGGGGAUGCUUAUCUAGGGAAAAAGGAAAUUUAUAUUUUUUCUGAUUAAGAAAUCAAUUCUGUAUUUUUAUUAAAAAUAAAUUAAGAAGUUCAAGUAGCAGUCAUCAACUUGGAAGAUGAGAUAAAUGGAAAUUUUCAUUUAAGUUCUAAUUUUCUUUCUCAGGAUCCACUUUAUUCUUGUAGAGACCCCCAAAUGGUGCAAUUAAUAACUGUGCAACUGGAAAGCAGUCCCCUUUAUAGCAAGAUUGGAAGAUUGCCUAUACAUCUCCCUUUUUCCUAAAUGGUCUUUCUUCGAACAAUUUCCUUUUUUACAGCCCUACCCCAGGGCACUGAGCCCUCUGGUUAGGAGGGGUAUAGCUCUUGCAAUCUGGGGAGCAUCUUUGAACUUCAUUAUAUUUGUUAACACGUGCUAAUGUGGGAUUCACAGGUGUAGUCAAGAUAUGGUCCCUCCUCCCUCUGUGUCUCUUCAGAAAUUAUUGCUAGAAGUGGAAGAGGAGGCAAGGACCGUUGCUAGGCAGCAGUGAGCUGAGGACUGGACUUCCAGUUUCCCUUAGGUGAUUUUACUUUUGUGUAUGUGUAACAGCUCUAAGUGAUUUUCAGGUAAUAAAAUGUUAAUAUAAUUUGCCUAUAUGUUGUAUUGUGCCUCUUUGUAUGGUGCAGAAUUUCAAACCUUAUUUAUUAAUGCAUGCUUUGAAGAGAUAAAGAAAUAAAUAAUCAUGCAUAGUUGCUCUUAUUGAAACUGGUUAGAAUUUGGCAUUGAGUACAGUAGAAACAAAGUAAAAUUUUGUAACUUCUGUGUUAGGUAAGCACUGUCUGAUAGUAAAACCUAUGGUAGGGCAAAUCCAAUCUUUAGGUUUUCUGACUUCAAAGAUUAAUGUUUGAUGUUUUUUGCAUAUAGGUUUUCUAAUGAAAGAUUGAAUCUUCUUAGGUUCUGGUCACUUACCAGAAGUUCCGAUUGCAAAAUUUCCAUACUGUGUUAUGUGAUGACCCCAAAAGUUUAAAAGUUAGUGUUGACAGUAAACUGAGAUUUGGUUAAAUACAAAGAGACUACAGAAAUUCACUAAUUUGGUUAAGAGCUGGGGGGAGAUGAUUGGAGUUGGAGCCUGCGAAGUUUGCAUUUUUCCCCUUAUUACCAGGAAGAAGACAGAAAUUCACUCAGAAUCUGAAAUUGUUAUCUGAUCAUUUGACCUCAGAAGCUAGAUUUUUAAGAAAAUUCCCCACCAAAUAUCACAGGCUUAUAACAAUACAUGUUUGGCAACACUUUUAGAUCAUUAGGAUCUGACUUUGGUAUAUGCUGUUGUAUAUUUACCUUUGCUCUGUUUUAUCUUUUAAAUUGGAUACUGAACAAAUAUUAGUCACAAGUAACAGUUGCAAACUUUGGGGUGAUGUUGCACAAUAUAACUAAGCCAAUCUGACGGCACACUACUGCUGAGAGAAGUGAUCCUGCUUCCCUUGCUUUGCACAUGGUGUAAGUCUUCCCUCUCUGUAGCAUCAGGUCUGUCUUGCUAAUCUCAGUAACCAUUGAUCAUUACUGAAAUCAGUGAAGGUGCCAAAAAUGGAGAGUUUUUUUCAAGUGUCUCUUGUUCUUUCUGCCAAAAUUAGAUCUUUACAUCAGUAUGUAGGCUAACUGGGCAGGGAAUGAUACUGCAGACUGGGAAGUAGAUCAGGACUGGUAUUUUUUCUUACUUUUUUUUUUAUAUACCCAAGUAUUAGGUUGUAUUUUGUCCUUUCAAAGGUUUCCACCCCGCCCCGAACAUUUAGUGGUGUGUUCACAGCAUUGGGGCAUGUUUUCUCUCUCUUGCUCCUUUGACACUGUCUCAGUCCUAUGGGCUUUUUGUCGCAUACUGUGGAUUUUACACAUGCUUUUUAACUUACCUUUCCCUACCGUCUUCCUGCAUUGGGAAAGCUAAUUCAAGAUAAAGGGAAUCUGUAAUCUGUGGAGCAUUUGAAAAAUUCUGUGUAAAGUUAAUGAGCAGAAGAGAUUCAGUGCAAACAGAGAGGAAUGCUAGCUGGAUUCAGAAUAUGUCAUGAAGAUGCUAGUCCUGUACAUCAGCAGCCAAAAGAGACAGUACUGGGCAGUUUAGUUUCCUGGUUUUCAUAGGCAAUUAUUAGCAAUUGUGUGGGGUUUUUUUUGUUUUUUGUUUUUUUUUUUCUUUUUUGCUUUGCUUGGUAUUAAUGAGUUAGCUGUCAGUUGUGAGAAGCUCUAUUUAAUAGAAAUGUUAAGGUAUUUGUUGCUAAAAAUAGUAUAGUUAUUUUUCAGGGAUUGAUUGUUAGAGUUUGGAACGCUCAUUUUUACUGUUCUAGUUCUGUAUGUGUUCGCACUGGUCUGACAACUAAUAAAUGUCUGUGUACGUUCA